rnacentral:rRNA from 1 species
AUUGAACGCUGGCGGCAGGCCUAACACAUGCAAGUCGAGCGGAUGAAGGGAGCUUGCUCCUGGAUUCAGCGGCGGACGGGUGAGUAAUGCCUAGGAAUCUGCCUGGUAGUGGGGGAUAACGUCCGGAAACGGGCGCUAAUACCGCAUACGUCCUGAGGGAGAAAGUGGGGGAUCUUCGGACCUCACGCUAUCAGAUGAGCCUAGGUCGGAUUAGCUAGUUGGUGGGGUAAAGGCCUACCAAGGCGACGAUCCGUAACUGGUCUGAGAGGAUGAUCAGUCGCACUGGAACUGAGACACGGUCCAGACUCCUACGGGAGGCAGCAGUGGGGAAUAUUGGACAAUGGGCGAAAGCCUGAUCCAGCCAUGCCGCGUGUGUGAAGAAGGUCUUCGGAUUGUAAAGCACUUUAAGUUGGGAGGAAGGGCAGUAAGUUAAUACCUUGCUGUUUUGACGUUACCAACAGAAUAAGCACCGGCUAACUUCGU